rnacentral:rRNA from 1 species
CAUGCAGUCGACGGCAGCACAGGAGAGCUUGCUCUCUGGGUGGCGAGUGGCGGACGGGUGAGGAAUACAUCGGAAUCUACUUUUUCGUGGGGGAUAACGUAGGGAAACUUACGCUAAUACCGCAUACGACCUACGGGUGAAAGCAGGGGACCUUCGGGCCUUGCGCGAUUGAAUGAGCCGAUGUCGGAUUAUCUAGUUGGCGGGGUAAAGGCCCACCAAGGCGACGAUCCGUAGCUGGUCUGAGAGGAUGAUCAGCCACACUGGAACUGAGACACGGUCCAGACUCCUACGGGAGGCAGCAGUGGGGAAUAUUGGACAAUGGGCGCAAGCCUGAUCCAGCCAUACCGCGUGGGUGAAGAAGGCCUUCGGGUUGUAAAGCCCUUUUGUUGGGAAAGAAAUCCAGCUGGCUAAUACCCGGUUGGGAUGACGGUACCCAAAGAAUAAGCACCGGCUAACUUCGUGCCAGCAGCCGCGGUAAUACGAAGGGUGCAAGCGUUACUCGGAAUUACUGGGCGUAAAGCGUGCGUAGGUGGUCGUUUAAGUCCGUUGUGAAAGCCCUGGGCUCAACCUGGGAACUGCAGUGGAUACUGGGCGACUAGAAUGUGGUAGAGGGUAGCGGAAUUCCUGGUGUAUCAGUGAAAUGCGUAUAGAUCAGGAGGAACAUCCCUGGCGAAGGCAGCUUCCUGGACCAACAUUGACACUGAGGCACGAAAGCGUGGGG